rnacentral:rRNA from 1 species
ACCCCGUGAACCUUUACUGUAGCUUUGCAUUGGACUUUGAACAGGCUUGUGUAGGAUAGGUGGGAGGCUUUGAAGCUGAGACGCUAGUUUCAGUGGAGCCGUCCUUGAAAUACCACCCUGGUGUGUUUGAGGUUCUAACCUGGGUCCAUCAUCUGGAUCGGGGACCGUGCAUGGUAGGCAGUUUGACUGGGGCGGUCUCCUCCCAAAGUGUAACGGAGGAGUUCGAAGGUUACCUAGGUACGGUCGGACAUCGUACUGAUAGUGCAAUGGCAAAAGGUAGCUUGACUGCGAGACCGACA